rnacentral:rRNA from 1 species
UUAUACCGUAGAGGUAAAAAAAUUUUAGUUUUAAUUAUGAGGGUUAAAGAUGAGAAGAGAAGUUUUCUUUAAAGGUAAAAUUGAAAGGGAGUAAUUUUUUCAAAUUUUAUUCCUUAAAAAAUUUAGAAUGAGACUAGGAUUAGAUACCCUAUUAUUAUUUAAAAAAAGAAAAUUAGGUAGUAUUAGAAGACUUGAAACUUAAAGAAUUUGGCGGUGUUUUAAUCUUAUCAGAGGAACUUGUAUUAUAAUUCGAAAUUACUCGUUCUAUCUUACUUAAAUUAAAUUUGUAUAUCGUCGUAAAAAUAAAAUUUUAAGGUGGAUAUUUAAAAUUAUUUAAUAAAAAAUUACAGAUCAAGGUUCAGUUAUGUUUAAGAAAAUAUGAGUUACAAUGUUUAAGAAAAAUAAAUGAAUAAUUCUUUGAAAAAAGAAUUUGAAGGUGGAUUUGAAAGUAAAUAAAAAUAAA